rnacentral:rRNA from 1 species
GACGAACGCUGGCGGCGUGCCUAAUACAUGCAAGUAGAACGAGUUGCGAACGGGUGAGUAAUGUCUGGGAAACUGCCCGAUGGAGGGGGAUAACUACUGGAAACGGUAGCUAAUACCGCAUACCAUCGGAUGUGCCCAGAUGGGCUUAGCUAGUAGGUGGGGUAACGGCUCACCUAGGCGACGAUCCCUAGCUGGUCGGAGAGGAUUACCAGCCACACUGGAACUGAUACACUGUCCAGACUCCUACGGUAGGCAGCAGUGGGGAAUAUUGCACAAUGGGCGCAAGCCUGAUGCAGCCAUGCCGCGUGUAUGACGAAGGCCUUCGGGUUGUAAAGUACUUUCAGCGAGGAGGCGUUAAUCGCAGAAGAAGCACCGGCUAACUCCGUGCCAGCAGCCGCGGUAAUUC